AAAAAAGGCCGGCGGCGGGUGGACGCGGCGCGCGAGGACCCGAGCCAGGCGGGGACAGGACGGCGGGGCGAGCCAGACAAAAAGUAACCUUCCUGAAGAGGACAUGUGAUUGGAAGUUGUCAAUUGUUGAAGCAUUGGUAACUCCAGUCUCUAACGUUUUAGAAAAUCAUAACAAGCGGUUCUCUACCCUGUAAAGGUAUGGUUUUGUAUUUAUCUUUUUUUUUUUUGGUAGUGGUUUUGAGCUCUGUCAUGUCAAUUUUCAUGCGCUUAAAUUAUGUGCAAUAUAACAUACAAUACCAUUGCACGUACUGUUUUUAAACUAAAGACUUAAUGAUGUCUACUAAAUUUCUUGGGAUUAGUUUGAAAAGUGCAUUUUCAGUGACCACGGAGUGGGUAUGAAUACUGACCGCAUUCUUCCUUUCUUUUCUGUACUUGAAUAAAGAAACAUAGGUUUUUACUUUCAGGAAAUUGUUGAAUAUGAGAGCUGAUUAGGAAAUUGAAUUAUUCUGAGAGUCUUGCUUAUCCUCUGAGGGUUGUUUGACAAAAAUUCAAGCUUAUUGGUGUUUU
rnacentral:lncRNA from 1 species